UACAGAUUUCCGCGGCCGCGGAGGCUCUCGCCGCCCAGGGCGUCGCCACGCCAGCCGGGCCGAGGAGCGCGCGGAGGCGGCCGCGGGAGGGGCCGAGGCUGCUGGCGGCCCCGGCACGGGCGCGGGAGGGGAGCGGCCGAGCCUGCGGCCGCGCGGAGAGAGACGGAGGGAGAGAGAGAGGGAGGGAGGACGGGCGGAGCGGCCGGCGCCCGUGAGGGGAGGAAGCGCGCCGCCGCGGCCGGCCGCGGCUCGGGAGCCCGCCCCGGCUGGGGUGCGAGCCCACCGCCUUCCAGCGCCGGCCCGUGGGGCGCGGAAGGCCGCACGGUGCGUGUGUGCACUGGCCGCGCGGGGGCACCGCCGGGUGAGCGCGACCCCGUGGAGGCCGCCCGGGUUCCGCCGGGAAGAGAUGGGGAAAGGGGUCACGGUCAAGCCUGGGCGAGAAGAGCCAAGUGUUGUGCGGCCUUGAAACGGGGGGGCUCGGAGCGCGUGUUAGGCCCCACACUUUCGGGCUGUUCUCAACCUUUGUGUGUCCCCCCGCCCACCCCCGACCGUGGCUCCCCGCCCUCCUCAGUACCCCUCCCCCCACUGUUAAAUUUUAAUUCCAGAGAGACACCGUGUAUCCGACUUUGCCGAGCGUUUAUCUGUGCUUGCUCCUUUAAAAAAAAAAAAAAAAAAGUAAUUUUUUUUCCCCCCUCCUCCUAAGAACCAACUUCUGCCCGCUUUGAGGGAAUAUGGCCUCCGUUGAUAACGCACGGUUUAGGGAACAUCAAAAGGGGCUUCGUGGAGGGUGUGGCGAUUAAGACAAGCCUUUAAGUUCGAAGUGGCCACCGGAGGCGUCCCUCUUUCCCGACUUCUGGACUGAGCCCACGGAAAUCGAGGAUGCCGCAGUGUGUCGGAGGGGGACGGCCGCAGCAACAGCCUGGCCAGACCCGACCUGGGCGAAGAAGGCACUUCCCGGCUUCAGUUUUCCUUCUGGACGCCCAGUGGCGGGAGCUCCGCGGGCCCCUUCCAGCCUCCUCGCCCUGCAAAAUGGGGGCACUCACUCCAGCACUCCACGGGGUAAAUCCAGUCCUGAGUCAUCCUAAUGGGUACAAUGGUUUUGAUUUACAGUUCCCUAACAAUUACUGAUGUUGAACGUCUUUUCUGAACCCUUCCUUUGAAUCUGGGUUCUAUGACCAGUCUUCUCUUGAUUUCUUCUAGCAAGAGCCAGUUCUGCCUCAUGGAGGAGGAAACUGAGGGCAGCUUCUGUUAAGGAGGGUAACUUGUGAUAAAGAGCAGAGAGAAGGGGCAAAGUGGAGCCCACAGCUGAACCUGAGUGGUGCCAGGAGAGGAGAUGAAGGGGAAAUCUUCUGGAAUCCAGAGAUUCUGUUGUCAGGAGGUUCUUAACCGUCUGGGCUGGGCAAUUUUUGCAGUCAGUUACAUUUAUCCUGGCUCUGCAGGGACAGAUAUUUGUGUAUGUGUCUCCUGUGAGUGGCCACAGGUGAAGGACUUGUUGGGCUCCCCCCUGUGCAUACUGGAACGCAUGUUUUUGGAACUGCGUUUGUAAAAGUUAAGUUAAAAUGACGCUCACUUAACAGAAUUUUCCAUUUGCAUUUUCAGUUUCUUCUCAAGAACUAUGGGGAUGCUUAUUUAAGUGUUUAAAUAAUUAUCUCUUUUGUAUGUGUGUGAUUGCUCUUAAAAACACGAGAUCUUUUAGAUGUAUAAGAAACAGAACUUUCUAUAAUUCCAUUCAGUUUUUAUUUUGAUUCCUGUUCUGCUGCUGCCAAAACCAUAAUCUCGGUUAAUUUAGGAUUUUCUCUGUCUGCUUCCCUGGAGUUGUUUCUGAGGGCUGACAUUUUGGAGGGUGGUCGUUUAUCUGGUCCUUGAGUCAGAUGUGCCCACAGAUUGCUGGGAGGCCAUUUUGCUCCUGUCGUAGGAUCCACAGCUGUCCUGUGCAUCCACUGAGGGGUGGGAAUCUCUACAAAAUUGAUGUUGGUGCCUCAGCCAUUCCAUAAAGUCAUUCCUGGCACAGUGCCCUCUGCUUAUGGGACCUCUUCUUGUCCUCCCACAAAUUCACAUAUUAAAAUCUAAUCUCCAGUGUGAUGGUUUUUGGAGGGGAGGACUUUGAAUGUAACCAUAUGAAUAGGAUUAGUGCCCUUUUAAGAAGAGGCCAGAGAGCUAGCUCAAUCUUUUCUCACCAUGGGAGGAGACAAUAAGAGGGCUGCGGUCUGCAACUCAGAAGAAGGCUCUCGCCCACACCUGACCAUGCUAGCACCCGGAUCUGAGACUUCCAGCCCCCGGAAUUGUGAGAACAAAAAAAGAAAAAAAAAAGAGGUAAUACUAGAACACUGUCACCGGCGAAGAGGCCACUUUCACACAGGACUGAUGGGAGCAAACCUGGAAUGUUUUCUCUGGAUAGCAGUUUGGGUCCUGAUAAAAUGUGAAGUUCAAAGACAAGAUGGGGAACUGUAUAAUUCAGAGCCGCAUCAUUCUUUCUCCGCAUCUCACUGAUGGGAACACCGCAAUGACUAUCACCUCACCUGAGCCCACGGCAACCUUAUGAGGCUGAUACUAUGAUUCUCAUUUUACAGGUCGGCAGACUUCGAGAAACUUGACGAAUCCAGUUGAUGGGGAUGUGGAGCACCAGCACUUUCAUCUGUUAUGGAUGAGAACAGGUGCACCUGCUAUGGAGAAUGACUUGUCAGUUUCCUGGUGACAUUAAAGAGACUCAUUCCCUCCCGCACAGAGUUUCCUUCCUAGAGACGUGUGUACAAGGAUAUAUGCAAGCCUAUUUGAUCCGAUAUUGUUCCUGAUACUGAAACAUUUUAAAUGACUCAUCUGUUCAUCUGAAGGACUGUGGAUAAAUAAACAUGGUUUAUUUAGAUACCGCAA